UGGGGGAUAUUGCACAAUGGGGGAAACCCUGAUGCAGCGACCCCGCGUGGAGGAAGAAGGUUUUCGGAUUGUAAACUCCUGUCGUUAGGGACGAUAAUGACGGUACCUAACAAGAAAGCACCGGCUAACUACGUGCCAGCAGCCGCGGUAAAACGUAGGGUGCAAGCGUUGUCCGGAAUUACUGGGUGUAAAGGGAGCGCAGGCGGACCGGCAAGUUGGAAGUGAAAACCAUGGGCUCAACCCGUGAAUUGCUUUCAAAACUGCUGGCCUUGAGUAGUGCAGAGGUAGGUGGAAUUCCCGGUGUAGCGGUGGAAUGCGUAGAUAUCGGGAGGAACACCAGUGGCGAAGGCGACCUACUGGGCACCAACUGACGCUGAGGCUCGAAAGCAUGGGUAGCAAACAGGAUUAGAUACCCUGGUAGUCCAUGCCGUAAACGAUGAUUACUAGGUGUUGGAGGAUUGACCCCUUCAGUGCCGCAGUUAACACAAUAAGUAAUCCACCUGGGGAGUACGACCGCAAGGUUGAAACUCAAAGGAAUUGACGGGGGCCCGCACAAGCAGUGGAGUAUGUGGUUUAAUUCGAAGCAACGCGAAGAACCUUACCAGGUCUUGACAUCCGAUGCAUAGUGCAGAGAUGCAUGAAGUCCUUCGGGACAUCGAGACAGGUGGUGCAUGGUUGUCGUCAGCUCGUGUCGUGAGAUGUUGGGUUAAGUCCCGCAACGAGCGCAACCCUUAUUGCCAGUUACUACGCAAGAGGACUCUGGCGAGACUGCCGUUGACAAAACGGAGGAAGGUGGGGAUGACGUCAAAUCAUCAUGCCCUUUAUGACCUGGGCUACACACGUACUACAAUGGCGUUUAACAAAGAGAAGCAAGACCGCGAGGUGGAGCAAAACUCAGAAACAACGUCUCAGUUCAGAUUGCAGGCUGCAACUCGCCUGCAUGAAGUCGGAAUUGCUAGUAAUCGCGGAUCAGCAUGCCGCGGUGAAUACGUUCCC
rnacentral:rRNA from 1 species